GGGGUCCGUGCCUGGCAGGGAAGGGGGACAUGAUAUUUGCCAGAGGUCUGUGGGCACAGUUACCCUCUACCCCCCAGAUCCAGGGGGGUCCUGCUAGCCUCCUCAUAACAAGGAUCAGCAACAGAGGCUUCUGGGGAAAGGUGACAGGUUCCACACCAGCAGCUUUGCAGGAUGUUGUGAAAAUCCACAGCAGCCUCAGACAUCACUCAUCUCUUCCAAAAUCCAGGGGCUGCCUGAGCCUCAGUAGGAACCCCCACUGACAUCUCCCUAUCCCCCCAGUCCCGGUGUCUUUGACCCUGAGAUACACGACUGUCUCGUUCUUACCAACAACAUAGUCCCCGAAGCCGAUGGUGCUGAGAGUGAUGAAGGCAAAGUAGAAACCCUCGCUGAAACUCCAGCCCUCCACGUGGCUGAAGACCAUGGGCGGGAAGACGAGAAUGACCAGAGUCCCCAGGGAAAGGAUCUGAAGCUCUGCAAUGACCAUAGAGAUGCUCCAUGUUGACCUGCUGUCAGCAGGAGGCACCCAGCUGUCAGCUCCUUCAGGAUGUAUGGCAGCUACAGAGAACUGCCUGGCUCAGGGGCAUGCCUUCCCCGGAAGUUCUGGUCUUUCAGCCUGCUGCAGGACAACUCGGAUGCUGGCACAUGUUGCAGAGCUCCUCAAGGGCUGGCCAAGUCUUUGCUCAGCCCGCAUCGCAUUCAAACUCUCCCUUUGCCCUCUCCUUUUCUUCCACCGGUGCCUACCUAGUGCCUGCUUGCCACACCCCAUCUCAGUGUCAACCUCUGAAGGAUCAACCUGCAACAGCUUCUGUCACAGCAAGGCCUCAGGGAGGGAGGGAUCCUACCUGGAAGCGUCUGGGCUGGUCCUCCCACCUCUCGAGUGUGGUCAGGUGGCCACGGAGCCCUGUGCCCAGGUGGUUGAGGAAGAUCACGUUGAGUGGGAUUCCCACCAGGGCGUAGAAGACACAGAAGACCUGGCCUGCCUCUGUGCUGGGUGCCAGAUUCCCAUAUCCUGCAGGGGAGGGGGAGAGUGUAAAUGUGGGGAAGAGAGAGUUCAGAACUGCCUCCCCCACAGACUCUAGCAGAGGGUGGUGGUCUUCUAACAUCUCUGCAGGGAGGAGGGGAAGUUCCUCUGAUCUCAUGAACACUCUUCCCAUUCUCUGCUAGAAUGAUCUCUAUUUAUAAGACUCCUGCUUUUCUUUCAAGGCUUCUCUGAAAUGACAUUGCCUCUAGGAAGCCCUCCUGACUGCCACCCUUUUCUUCCCUACUAGGUGUGAUUCCCCACAGUGCUUUGUGUCAUUCCUAUCUAAUUAUCUACUUUGCCUUGUACUGUU